rnacentral:rRNA from 1 species
GACGUAGGGGGCGAGCGUUGUCCGGAUUUAUUGGGCGUAAAGAGCGUGUAGGCGGCCUAGUAGGUCAGCUGUGAAAACUCGAGGCUCAACCUCGAGCUGUCGGUUGAAACCACUAGGCUAGAGUCCGGAAGAGGAGAAUGGAAUUCCCGGUGUAGCGGUGAAAUGCGCAGAUAUCGGGAAGAACACCCGUGGCGAAGGCGGUUCUCUGGGACGGUACUGACGCUGAGACGCGAAAGCGUGGGGAGCGAACAGG